GACGAACGCUGGCGGCGUGCUUAACACAUGCAAGUCGAACGAAGAGCGAUGGAAGCUUGCUUCUAUCAAUCUUAGUGGCGAACGGGUGAGUAACGCGUAAUCAACCUGCCCUUCAGAGGGGGACAACAGUUGGAAACGACUGCUAAUACCGCAUACGAUCUAAUCUCGGCAUCGAGGAUAGAUGAAAGGUGGCCUCUACAUGUAAGCUAUCACUGAAGGAGGGGAUUGCGUCUGAUUAGCUAGUUGGAGGGGUAACGGCCCACCAAGGCGAUGAUCAGUAGCCGGUCUGAGAGGAUGAACGGCCACAUUGGGACUGAGACACGGCCCAGACUCCUACGGGAGGCAGCAGUGGGGAACCUUCCGCAAUGGACGAAAGUCUGACGGAGCAACGCCGCGUGAGUGAUGACGGCCUUCGGGUUGUAAAGCUCUGUUAAUCGGGACGAAAGGCCUUCUUGCGAAUAGUGAGAAGGAUUGACGGUACCGGAAGAGAAAGCCACGGCUAACUACGUG
rnacentral:rRNA from 1 species